CUCGUAGGCGGUUUGUUGCGUCGGCUGUGAAAACCUGAGGCUCAACCUCAGGCCUGCAGUCGAUACGAGCAGACUAGAGUGUUGCAGGGGAGACUGGAAUUCCUGGUGUAGCGGUGAAAUGCGCAGAUAUCAGGAGGAACACCGGUGGCGAAGGCGGGUCUCUGGGCAACAACUGACGCUGAGGAGCGAAAGCGUGGGGAGCGAACA
rnacentral:rRNA from 2 species